GAGGUUCUUGGGCACUUAUUUCACACACCUAAACCCACCCACCUCCCUCCUGCCUACACAUUUUGCACUACACCUUAUUAUUUUCUAUAAAACAUGCAAAUUAAUGAAGCAAUUCUUUGGGGAAUUUGAGUGAAGGGAUUCUUUUCUUCCCCUCUCUUUUGCAGCUUAUUUUUUGCAUACAUACACAUAUAUUUUGUCUCUUGUAAAUAGGUU
rnacentral:misc_RNA from 1 species